UCGAUAAAAGCAUUGCACGUGACGUGAUUUGUUGAAAGUUCAAAAUGGCGGACAGCACAAGUGGUACAAAUGCCUUUGACAAGUUGAAGAAGUCUCUUACUGCUGGAGGUAAAGAAUGGAAGUAUUAUAGUCUACCGUCCCUAGCAGAUAAAAGAUAUGAAAAACUUCCAUAUUCUAUACGGGUGUUACUCGAGUCUGCUGUUAGAAACUGCGAUGAUUUCUAUGUCUACCAGUCAGAUGUAGAAAAGAUAUUAGACUGGGAAGUAAACCAGUCCAGGAGUGUGGAAAUCCCGUUCAAACCUUCACGAGUUAUACUACAGGACUUCACAGGUGUACCAGCUGUCGUGGACUUUGCCGCCAUGCGAGAUGCAGUAAAAAGACUUGGUGGAGAUCCGGAGAAAAUCAACCCCGUCUGUCCUGCUGACCUAGUUAUAGAUCAUUCCAUUCAAGUUGAUGUUUCCAGAAGCAACCUUGUCAAUUCUCCCAACCCUGGCGGAGGUCAAAAGUCAUGUCAAAGGUCAAAUACAGGUGCAGCCUUGAAGGUCAAGAGUCAAGGUCAACCCAUUGCACCGUGUGACCUGUGUAAAGGCCAAGGUCGUGAUUUACCUAUUUCAGAUAAAGUCUGUCCCUUUCACGGAGAAAAAACUCCUGGUGCGGAUGCACUUGAGCAGAAUCAGAUGCUGGAGUUUGAAAGAAACAAGGAAAGAUUUGUCUUUUUAAAGUGGGGAGCUAAUGCAUUAAAGAAUAUGUUGAUAGUGCCACCAGGAUCUGGAAUUGUUCAUCAGGUGAACCUGGAAUACCUUGCCCGGGUCGUGUUCGGUGAAGAAGGUGUGCUGUACCCAGACAGUCUGGUUGGAACCGACUCCCAUACCACUAUGAUAAAUGGCUUGGGAAUUGUUGGGUGGGGUGUUGGCGGUAUUGAAGCAGAAGCUGUGAUGUUGGGUCAGUCAAUCAGCAUGGUGCUUCCAGAAGUCGUAGGGUAUAAACUUACCGGUGAACCAAAUCCAUUGACCACUUCUACUGAUAUUGUCCUUACCAUCACCAAGCAUUUACGUUCUGUUGGUGUGGUUGGAAAGUUUGUCGAGUUCUUUGGACCGGGUGUGACUGCCCUUUCCAUUGCUGAUAGAGCUACGAUCUCCAAUAUGUGCCCAGAAUAUGGUGCUACAGUGGGGUUCUUCCCAGUGGACGAUAAAAGUUUGCAAUAUCUUAGACAGACAGGGAGAGAGGAAGAGAAAAUUUCACUCAUAGAAGCUUACCUCAAAGCCAAUAAAAUGUUCAGGAACUUCACAGAUGCAGCAGAAGAUCCUAUCUUCUCUCAGGUUAUAGAGUUGGACCUGUCUUCAGUGACUCCAUGUUGUUCAGGACCAAAACGACCACAUGACAAGGUCACGAUCGCCGACAUGAAAACGGACUUCAGGGAUUGUCUCAAUAACAAACCAGGAUUUAAGGGAUUUGGUAUUCCUGAAGACAAACAGUCUACAACAGUACCACUGGUGUUUGAUGGGCAGGAGUAUACUCUAAAUCAUGGUUCUGUUGUCAUAGCGGCAAUAACAAGCUGUACCAAUACUAGUAAUCCUUCUGUGAUGUUAGGAGCAGGUCUUCUAGCUAAGAAGGCAGUUGAAGCUGGUCUUUCAGUGAAGCCAUACAUUAAAACAAGUCUUUCACCAGGAAGUGGAGUAGUCACAUACUAUUUGAGAGAAAGUGGGGUAACACAAUACUUGCAAAAACUUGGGUUUGAUAUAGUAGGAUAUGGAUGUAUGACGUGUAUAGGUAAUAGCGGACCAUUGCCUGAACCUGUCUCAGAAGCCAUAGAAAAGGGUGAUUUGGUAGCCUGUGGUGUACUUUCUGGCAAUCGGAACUUUGAAGGACGUAUCCAUCCACUCACUCGCGCCAACUACCUUGCCAGCCCACCUCUAGUUAUAGCCUAUGCUCUGGCUGGUAGAGUCAAUAUAGACUUUGAAACAGAACCUCUAGGUACUAAUCAAGAAGGUAACCCAGUGUUUCUCAGGGAUAUAUGGCCGUCUCGAGAUGAGAUUCAUAAAGUGGAAAAUGAGUUUGUGAUACCAUCCAUGUUUAAUGAAGUCUACGCCAGGAUCCAGAAAGGCAAUGAGCGCUGGAACAAACUUGAUGCCCCUGAGGGAAUCCUGUAUCCAUGGGAUGCAAAAUCUACAUAUAUACAGAGCCCACCUUUCUUUGAAACUAUGACAAAAGAAUUGCCAAAAAUUCAAGGUAUUAAAGAUGCUUAUGUGCUUCUGAACUUCGGGGAUUCGGUGACUACAGACCAUAUAUCACCUGCAGGAAGUAUUGCCCGAAAUAGUCCUGCAGCUAGAUAUCUUGCUGGUAGAGGCUUAACACCUCGAGAAUUCAAUUCAUAUGGCUCAAGACGAGGGAAUGAUGCUGUCAUGGCCAGAGGAACUUUUGCAAAUAUUCGUCUUGUCAACAAAUUCCUGUCGAAGCCAGGAGCCAGGACCUUACACCUGCCAACUGGAGAGGAGAUGGAUAUAUUUGAUGCUGCUGAGAGGUACAAGUCUGAGGGCAAACCGGUGGUCAUCCUGGCAGGCAAGGAGUAUGGAUCUGGCUCCUCUAGGGACUGGGCGGCAAAGGGGCCAUGGAUCUUGGGGGUUAAAGCUGUGAUAGCGGAAAGUUAUGAGAGAAUCCACCGAAGCAAUCUAGUUGGUAUGGGUAUAAUACCAUUCCAGUAUUUAGAUGGUCAGAAUGCCUCGAGUCUUGGGUUGACUGGCAAAGAGACGAUCACAAUUGAUCUACCGCAAAAUCUACAGCCUGGUCAAACUGUUGAUGUUAAGUUGAGUGGUGAUCGGACAUUCCAAGUGAAGACACGUUUCGACACUGAAGUGGAAUUAGUAUACUUUAGAAAUGGAGGCAUCCUCAACUAUAUGGUUCGAAAAAUCCUAAAUGCCUCCUAGACGUUAACGGUGCUAAAUCAAAAAUAGGCUAGAUGAUUCCUAGUAAUUACAAUCCUAAUAAAAAGUGGUGAAAUUGUGUCAUAUUUUCCAUUACUCUUUUAAUUGUGUUAUAAAUUGAUGGCAUUAUCAUGACCGGAUCUUGGUAGAUAUGUGUUGUGAAUGUUCAUUGUUGACCAGAUGUUAAAGAACUUUGUAAUGGAAUUUAUUUCUAUGAAUUCUUUUUCUUUCUUGAAAAACUGGAACAGUAGCUCUGAAUCAAAAUCAGUACAAGACAUUGACGAUAUAUGUACACAGAUUAUUUUGAUAUUUUUACAUUGAUAUAAGCUAUCUAGAUGUAAAAUGAGACAUUUAGAAAUUAAUUUACUGCUAUUGAAAUGUAUCAAGAGUUUCUUAUAUUUUUAGCGUGAGCUUUAUAUGAAAUAAUGUAAUUGUAUAUUUGUAUUAUAAAUUGAAUGGAUGAAAUUUGAUUUGAAAUUCCUGAAUGAUUAUAUAACUGAAUCCAUUGCAGUAUUUUAUUUCAUUGCGUAAAUGUCUUAUAAAUGUGUAAAUUAAUUAUUUCAUUUUUUUUGGUGUAAAUGUGUUGCUAUGAACAUUAUGAAAGUGAUGUUUACUUGCACUUGUUUGAAGAUAUAUUAUGCCCAGAUAGAAGAAAAAACAUGAACAGUAAACUACUUAUUCUCGAAAUAAACAGGAAAUAAACUCAUUUGAGUGUAUAAGCAAUACUGAGAUAGGUUAAAAUAGUUCAAACUAAACAUGGAGGCCUCCAUGGCUGAGUGGUUAAGUUUGCCGACUCCAAAAUCACUUGCCCCUCACAUAUGUGGAUUUGAGCCGCACUAGGCGUUGAAGUCUUUGUGUGAGGAAACCAUCCAGCUGGCGUACGGAAGAAAAUAAACAGGCAUUUGGUGUAUUUAGCACUUACUAGAAACAUACAGUAUUUUAUUACACGCAUUUUAACAUAGACAUUUUAAAGAAUAAACUAUGUUUGAAUUAAGACCAUCUGCAUGAAGACUACCUUUAGCUGGGCAUUAAUUGUCAACAUUUUUAUUUGAAUACUUUAUUCACGUAUACAAGUUGUAAUUGUAUUAAGUUAGAUGUUGUUCUGUGAAAAAAUGCCUGUUUGAAUUGUCAUGUAUCUAUACAGAAAUGAAAUAGGAAACAGAGACAUUUCUAAUACUACUGAAUUGAAAAAAAAGAAGAAAGAUUUGCUUCCAUAACUCAUUUUUUACGUAAAUGAGGUGUAAAAUCUAAGACGUAAAACCACAAUUAACAAUAGAAAAUCAAAGCAGAUCCUUAGCACUGGAAAAAUGUAGAAUUUUUUAUUUGUAGAAAAAACUGAACUUUCCAUCAAAUAUUGUUGUAGAAAAAUAAAUAGUGUUUAAGAGGUAAUGAAUUUCGUGUUUGUGUGGUCAUUUAUUGUAAGUGGAUUUAGAAAUAUGAGGCAUUGUAUUUAGAGUUAUGGAACUUCUCUCUUAAAUAUUAGGAGGUUCAUCUUUAUUGUUGCCCUUGAAACAAUAUUUGCUGUGGAUAAAAUCCAUACAUAAAUUUGAUUCAAUAAAAUGAUUAUUUAUGCG
rnacentral:misc_RNA from 1 species